GCAGCGACACUUGCGAGCGCCUCGGCCGCCCUACACAGCCCGCGGCCCUCAGCGCCUUCUCCUCACCCGCCAGCUCCCCCCGCAUCCCCUUUGCUUUCCUCCGCCUCUGGGGGCCCUCCUCCGUGACCCCUGAAUGGCCCCCACUUCCCUCAGAUCCACACCUCGCACCUGUCAGUGCCCCGCCCUGUCCUGUCCAGUCCCAGCGGAUCGACCGCGCCCGCCCGGGGCCCCUCCCAACCCCAGCGCCGUCCUCCGCGCGGCUCCCACUUGCUGCCCCCCCUCGCCACCACCCUUGCCCCUCGUCUCCCUGGGUCGUCAGAGGUCCCCCCUCUCCUCCUCCCAAGCCCGCAGUUCCCUCCCCUCCCUUCCCUUCCUCCUCUGCUGCUGAGCGACUCUUCCUGCUCGCUUGCUUUCUCACGCAGGCCGUUAAGGACUCCUGAAGAGGCCAGAUCCAAAGAAGUCUGAGAGAAGACCAUGUGGAGAGAGGGCCAGCGAUCUGAGUCGGUCCAGCCAUUGCAGCUGAGCUGCCAGUUGUAGCCACAGGACUGAACCCAGGGUUUGUCUACCAUUGUCCCACUUGCAUGAAUAAAUUGCUUUCUGAAGGCAUGAAGACUUAGACAAGAAAAACAAGUGGAAAGAGGCUGGUCACAGAAAGCUGAGCAGAUACAAUUUAAAAAAGAAGAAAAGAAUAAAGGAAAGGGGCUUCCUUGGUGGCACAGUGGUUAAGAAUCCGCCUGCCAACGCAGGGGACAUGGGUUCGAGCCCUGGUCCGGGAAGAUCCCACAUGCUGUGGAGCAACUAAGCCCGUGCACCACAACUACUGAGCCCAUGUGCCGCAACUAUUGAAGCCUGUGUGCCUCGAGUCCGUGCUCUUCAACAAGAGAAGCCACCGCAGUGAGAAGCCCACGCACUGCAACAAAGAGUAGCCCCCACUCUCUGCAACUAGAGAAAAGCCCACGCACAGCAGGAAGAACCAACACAGCCAAUAAAUAAAUAAAUAAAUUUAUUAAAAAAAAAAAAGAAUAAAGGAAAAACUUUUUCUUCUUGUGAUGAGAUAAAGGGAGAAUUUCUAUCUUUGUGAAUAUGCUUGGAAGAAGAGAGAGAGGCAUUGAUGCUGUAAGUCUGGUGAACCAGAAAAAUAACAUUACUUCAUCUCUUAAAAAGAAAAAGGAUGGGACUUCCCUGGUGGCGCAGAGGUUAAGAAUCCGCCUGCCAAUGCAGGGGACAUAGUUUCGAGCUCUGAUCUGGGAAGAUCCCACAUGCCGUGGAGCAACUAAGCCCGUGCACCACAACUACUGAGCCUGCACUCCAGAGCCCGUGAGCCACAACUACUGAGCCCACGUGCCACAACUACUGAAGCCUGUGCACCUAGAGCCCAUGCUCCGCAAGAAGAGAAGCUAUCACAAUGAGAAGCCCCGCGCACGGCAACGAAGAGUAGCCCCCACUCGCCGCAACUAGAGAAAGCCCGCGUGCAGCAACGCAGACCCAAUGCAGCCUUAAUAAAUUAAAUUUAUUAAUUUUAAUAAAUUAAUUAAUUAAUUUAAAAAAAAGAAAGAAAAACGAUGGCAUGACUGGAAAAAAACCUCAGAUUUGAGUGGAAGAGUUCAGUUUUUAGACAUGUUGAGUUUGAAAUGACUAUAAGUAUUUCUUAUGGGCUAUUGAAAGCAGCCAAACUGGGAAACUUCUUUGACAAUUUCGUCAGCCUUGAAGUAGUC